UUAUUUAUUUUGAUUCAUGUGUUUGUUUGUCUGUUUGACAGAAAUAUGGAUACUCUUUUCUUUUGUUUUGGUAUCGUAAUAAGGAGUAAUAAGUGUGGGUACACUUUGUUGUAAGUUGAGGAAUUUUUUUGAAUCGAGACUUGAUCAGAACAGGAUUUCUAGGGAUUUAUCUUUCUGUUUAAUAUUCUGUUAUAUCUUUGUACAGUUUGUGAACUGGGUCUUGUAUCCUUGAAGGAUUUGUGACUGGAUUUUUUCUAUUUGAAUUCAAAUGUCUCUGUAAUUGAUUUUUUUUUUCAUUCUUUUGUUGCAAUUGUACAUAUUAGAGACAUUGUUGUAAUACAGACUAGUUUGAAUUAUAUAUUGGUGGUUGGAAGACCUCUUGAUAAGCCUUGUGGUUGCAUCUAGACUUGGCUGAAUCUAACUGCUAAAUCCCCGUUGGUGAUAGACACGUGAGUUCUUUUGUCCCAAUUCUACUUCUGUUCAUUUCUAGAUUUUUUGUUUCCACAAAUGUAUCUUGAAUUGUAGAUAGGCACUAUUGUUUCAUGAAUUAAUAUACAAGUUUACCAGUGCAGUUGUAUCGAGUUGUGUAUUUAUGGAAUCAUGGUUGAUUUAUUUGGCAUCUUUACAAAUUUUGAUUGAGACAGGCCAUUGGGAGACAAGCCAGUGGUUCUGUUACCGUCAUAGAUGGAGAAACUGAUUUUUUUUGGUAUACCUCCUUUAUUGUUGUACACUCAAAUUGGGAGUGAAUAUAUAUUUUUUUCCCUCUUCAAUCUACUAUUAAUUUUCCAAUCACCAAGUUAAUCACCACGACUACACAACAGAAAGGAAAUAUUGUUUACACAUCUGUUUGUUUGGCUAAUGCUUCAAGUAAACCAUCAGACUUUUUCCCACUUUCCGUUCAUUAUUAGGAGCGUUUUUUGGCAGUAGGUUGGACUAGUGGAGGCUUUUUCAAACGAGAAGGAAGGGCAACAAAUCAUGAGUACAAGCCUGUAGAAAUUGAACAAGGAGUAGCUCAAGCAAUUAUCUGCUCUACCAUUAAUUUCAAGAGGGACCCUUGGCCUAGAGUCUCUGAUAAUGCAAAGGACCUGGUAAAGAAAAUGCUUGAUCCUGAUCCCAAGAAGUGGCUCACAGCUCAAGAAGUACUUGAUCAUCCUUGUAUACAAAAUACCAAGGUGGCCCCAAAUGUUCCACUUGGUGAGAUUGUGAGAGCAAGGCUGAAACAAUUUUCUGUAAUGAACAAACUGAGAAAAAGAGCUAUUGGGGUCAUAGCCGAGCAUUUGUCAGUUGAGGAAAUAGCUGGCAUAAAGGAGGCAUUUCAACUGAUGGAUACUGACAACAAAGGCAAGGUAUCCCUGGAUCAGCUUUGAAAUGGAAUACAAAAACUCGGCCAGCAGAUUCCUGACCGAGAUCUAUAAAUACUAAUGGAGCUGUUUGCAUCAAUUUGUGCUUCAUGGUGUAACCAGGUCAACAAAAUGAAGAGUUGAGGCAGUGAAGGCUAGAGCCGCUCAACAAAAUGAACAGUUAGAGGCACCAAAGGCAAGACAAAAUCAUACUAACACACUUUUACUUAAAAUGAUGGCACGAUUUUCCUCCCAAAACUGAAGCUAUGCAUACAUUAUUCACUUUUGUUGUUGCAAUUAUAUUAUCAUAAAACAUCAUUAUAGUGCAUAUAGUGAAUACUAGACCUUUCUUAGAUGCAACUCUUACCUACAAUAUGAUAAAGAUUAUAACUUGUUGUAUGUUUUGUUAU